rnacentral:rRNA from 1 species
AGGGCAAGUCUGGUGCCAGCAGCCGCGGUAAUUCCAGCUCCAAUAGCGUAUAUUAAAGUUGUUGCAGUUAAAAAGCUCGUAGUUGAAUUUCGGGGUCAGUAGNUUGGUCAUGCCUCAGGUAUGUACUGAUCUCACUGAUUCCUCCUUCCUGAUGAACCGUAAUGCCAUUAAUUUGGUGUUGCGGGGAAACUGGACUGUUACUUUGAAAAAUUUAGAGUGUUUAAAGCAGGCUAACGCUUGAAUACAUUAGCAUGGAAUAAUGAAAUAGGACGUUCGAUCUUAUUUUGUUGGUUUCUAGGAUUGACGUAAUGAUUAAUAGGGAUAGUUGGGGGCAUUAGUAUUCAAUUGUCAGAGGUGAAAUUCUUGGAUUUAUUGAAGACUAACUACUGCGAAAGCAUUUGCCAAGGAUGUUUUCAUUAAUCAAGAACGAAAGUUAGGGGAUCGAAGACGAUCAGAUACCGUCGUAGUCUUAACCAUAAACUAUGCCGACUAGGGAUCGGAUGAUGUUAAUUUUUUAAUGACUCAUUCGGCGCCUUACGGGAA